UACGUAGGUGGCAAGCGUUGUCCGGAUUUACUGGGCGUAAAGAGCGCGCAGGCGGUCAAAUAAGUCGAAUGUGAAAGCCCCCGGCUCAACUGGGGAGGGUCAUUCGAUACUGUUCGACUCGAAGGCAGGAGAGGGAAGCGGAAUUCCAGGUGUAGCGGUGAAAUGCGUAGAUAUCUGGAGGAAUACCGGUGGCGAAGGCGGCAUCCUGGACCGAGAUUGACACUGAUGAGCGAAAGCCAGGGGAGCAAACGGG
rnacentral:rRNA from 1 species